AGGAUUCCCCUAGUAACGGCGAGUGAAGCGGGAAGAGCUCAAAUUUGAAAUCUGGUAGCCUUCGGUUGCCCGAGUUGUAAUCUAGAGAAGUGUUUUCCGUGCCGGCCCAUGUACAAGUCCCUUGGAACAGGGCGUCAUAGAGGGUGAGAAUCCCGUCCUUGACAUGGACCCCCGGUGCUUUGUGAUACACUUUCAACGAGUCGAGUUGUUUGGGAAUGCAGCUCAAAAUGGGUGGUGAAUUCCAUCUAAAGCUAAAUAUUGGCGAGAGACCGAUAGCGAACAAGUACCGUGAGGGAAAGAUGAAAAGCACUUUGGAAAGAGAGUUAAACAGUACGUGAAAUUGUUGAAAGGGAAACGAUUGAAGUCAGUCAUGCUCUUAGGAUUCAGCCGUUCUGCGGUGUAUUUCCUUUGAGUGGGGUCAACAUCAGUUUUGAUCGAUGGAUAAAGGCACGAGGAAGGUAGCACUCUCGGGUGAACUUAUAGCCUCGCGUCAUAUACAUUGAUUGGGACUGAGGAACGCAGCAUGCCUUUAUGGCCGGGAUUCGUCCACGUACAUGCUUAGGAUGUUGACAUAAUG
rnacentral:rRNA from 1 species